GCUAACUUUGCUUACAUUUUGCCGGCNUANCGGUCGNGACGGNUGACAUAAUGCCUGGGGNAUCNGCCCNGUCCAGGGGNAUNACAUAUUGGAAACGACUGCUAAUACCGCAUACUCCCUACNGCCGGAAANCGAGGGGACCUUCGGGCCUUUCGCGAUUGNAUGAACCCAGGUGGGAUUACCUAGUUGGUGGGGUAAUGGCUCACCANGGCGACGAUCCCUAGCUGNUCUGANAGGAUGAUCAGCCACACUGGAACUGAAACACGGNCCAGACUCCUACGGGAGUNAGCAGUGGGGAAUAUUGCACAAUGGGGGAAACCCUGAUGCAGCCAUGCCGCGUGUGUGAAGAAGGCCUUCGGGUUGUAAAGCACUUUCAGCGAGGAGGAAAGGUUGGCGCCUAAUACGUGUCAACUGUGACGUUACUCGCAGAAGAAGCACCGGCUAACUCCGUGCCAGCAGCCGCGGUAAUACGGAGGGUGCAAGCGUUAAUCGGAAUUACUGGGCGUAAAGCGCACGCAGGCGGUUGGAUAAGUUANAUGUGAAAGCCCCGGGCUCAACCUGGGAAUUGCAUUUAAAACUGUCCAGCUAGAGUCUUGUAGAGGGGGGUAGAAUUCCAGGUGUAGCGGUGAAAUGCGUANAGAUCUGGAGGAAUACCGGUGGCGAAGGCGGCCCCCUGGA
rnacentral:rRNA from 1 species